CAACCCUCAAGCACCGCUUGGUUUUGGGGCCCCACGGCCGACGUGGGCCCUUAAAGGUAGUGGCGGACCCUCCCGGAGCCUCCUUUGCGUAGUAACUAACGUCUCGCACUGGGAUCCGGAGGGACUCUUGCCGUUAAACCCCCAAAUUCUUUACAGG
rnacentral:misc_RNA from 2 species